rnacentral:rRNA from 1 species
UACGUAGGGUGCGAGCGUUGUCCGGAAUUAUUGGGCGUAAAGGGCUCGUAGGCGGUUUGUCGCGUCGGGAGUGAAAUCCACUGGCUUAACUGGUGGCUUGCUUUCGAUACGGGCAGACUGGAGGUAUGCAGGGGAGAGCGGAAUUCCUGGUGUAGCGGUGAAAUGCGCAGAUAUCGGGAGGAACACCGGUGGCGAAGGCGGUUCUCUGGGCCUGUACUGACGCUGAGGAGCGAAAGCGUGGGGAGCGAACAGG